GACAUAGGUCGCAAACGUUAUCCGGAAUUAUUGGGCGUAAAGGAUGCGUAGAUGGUUCAGUAAGUUACUGGUGGGAAAUCGAGGCCCAACCUCGUGGAAGUUAGUAAUACUGUUGAACUUGAGUGCAGGAGAGGUUAACGGAACUUCAUGUGGAGCGGUAAAAUGCGUAGAUAUAUGAAAGAACAUCAAUAUAGCGAAGGCAGUUAACUAUUCUGCUACUGACAUUGAGGCAUGAAAGCGUGGGGAGCAAAACGG
rnacentral:rRNA from 2 species